rnacentral:lncRNA from 1 species
CUCAGUCUUCUGAAGAGUGGACAUAGAUCUUUAUGAAUGUGGAGACUCCACUGCAAGGACUGUUGCAGCUUUGGCGGGUACCCUAGGCUGCCACCUGGCUGGCCUGCCCUCAAGGAGGCUGCUUAAAUAAAGCGAGAGGACCAAAUACUGUUGGAAAGCCGCUCACUCCACACAGAAGCAGCAGGUGCUAUUGAUGUUUCCCUUCGUACAGAUGCGGCAGUAAAUAACAUACCCAAAGCCACGCAAGUGGAAGAAAGAGCCUUUAACGUGAGUCUGUGUGACCGCAACAUUUGAGUUCCUUCUGAUACCCCAUGGCGCCCUAAAAUGAAAUAUCCUGACAUAUUCUAUAAGGACUCAUCUCAUUUCAGGCUCUGAGAAAUUACUGGGAGCUUUUGACCUGGAUUUUGAGGCCCCCACCCUGCCCAGCUUGGCGCCGCUCUCGGAGCUAGCAUCCUGGAGAGAUUUCAUCUCUGUUUCUGCAGAGACAGAAGGUGAAGACAGGCAGGUGAAUGUCUGCAGCCGUCUCACCGACACAUUAAUCAGCUUCCCUGCUAACCUAGCAGAAGAUCGCUUUACUCAGACAACUUCUCUCGCAGCUCCUGUGGGGGGCAUUUGUAGAGAAGAGGUGAGGCACAGGACCAGGAAUGAAAGUCUUCUGCUACUUCUUUAAACUUUUUAUUUUGAAAUGAUGAUCGACCUACUAGAAGUUGCAAAAAGAAUGCAGAAAAUCCUCAUGUACUAUUCACCCAGCUCCCC